CCCUGCCAUUUGUACACACCGCCCGUCGCUCCUACCGAUUGGAUGUUCCGGUGAAAUCUUCGGACUGUGCUCUUGGGGCGGUUCGCCGUUCCUUGAGCGUGGAAAGUUGCUUAAACCUUAACAUCUAG
rnacentral:rRNA from 1 species